GAGUUUGAUUAUGGCUCAGAUUGAACGCUGGCGGCAGGCUUAACACAUGCAAGUCGAACGGUAGCAGGAGAAAGCUUGCUUUCUUGCUGACGAGUGGCGGACGGGUGAGUAAUGCUUGGGAAUCUGGCUUAUGGAGGGGGAUAACUACUGGAAACGGUAGCUAAUACCGCGUAAUAUCGAGAGAUUAAAGACUGGGACCUACGGGCCAGUUGCCAUAAGAUGAGCCCAAGUGGGAUUAGGUAGUUGGUGGGGUAAAGGCCUACCAAGCCCGCGAUCUCUAGCUGGUCUGAGAGGAUGACCAGCCACACUGGAACUGAGACACGGUCCAGACUCCUACGGGAGGCAGCAGUGGGGAAUAUUGCACAAUGGGGGGAACCCUGAUGCAGCCAUGCCGCGUGAAUGAAGAAGGCCUUCGGGUUGUAAAGUUCUUUCGGUGGUGAGGAAGGUAUCAACUUUAAUAGAGUUGGAAUGACGUUCCCCGANAGCC
rnacentral:rRNA from 1 species